rnacentral:sRNA from 1 species
UGAUUAAAUAUGACUCUGCCUAAGACUCAGGUGGCGCAAGCCUCAAUACCCUGCCGAGGAAGAAAUGAAAUGUUCCUUCUCUAUGUCUGCCAGUCAUAGGGAAUUUUUUAUAAAUUC